rnacentral:lncRNA from 1 species
GAGCAAUAUUAAUGGUUGCUUGUCUGGCUUCAAAUCAUCCAAAACCCUGUACCCAUUUCCAUUAAAAGCACAGAAUAAGUUCCCUGCGACAACAAAACCCCACUUCAACCACAUAGAAGCCAACAUAGUUACGAGCACACACGGAAAGAAGUAUAUGGAAGCAGGUCGUAUCUUCGAUGGACAAUUCAUUUUGCAAAUCACAGCCAGGAUACCC